GAUAACAAGCUAAUGACUCCCAAGAGCAUUUCGUUUGGCACAUCGGUGUCGACUCAUCACAUCUUGGGAUUGAAGAAGCUCCUAAAAGGUUGGUGGUUCAUCCAUUCAAAUGGCACGUGAUUUAGGUUUUGACGCUUUAGAUAUAGAAAAC
rnacentral:rRNA from 1 species